rnacentral:rRNA from 1 species
UACAGAGGUCCCAAGCGUUGUUCGGAUUCAUUGGGCGUAAAGGGUGCGUAGGCGGCGCGUUAAGUCGGGUGUGAAAUCUCGGGGCUUAACUCCGAAACUGCAUUCGAUACUGCCGUGCUUGAGGACUGGAGAGGAGACUGGAAUUUACGGUGUAGCGGUGAAAUGCGUAGAUAUCGUAAGGAAGACCAGUGGCGAAGGCGGGUCUCUGGGCCGAUACUGACGCUGAGGAGCGAAAGCGUGGGGAGCAAACAGG